rnacentral:lncRNA from 1 species
CACCUCCCACCUGGUCUCCUCUCUUCCCGCCUCCUCCCACGAAACCCUAGCUGCCGCGCCGUGCAGCCGCCGCGCCGUGCAGCCGCCGCCGCUACCGCGCCCUUCUCCUCCUUCCACCUCCUGGCCGGAGCCCAACCACCGCUCUCUCUCCCUCCCCCUACCACCGGCCUCUCCCUAGGUGGCGGCCAGAUCUGCCAUGGCCACAGCCACGACGGAGGCUUCUGGAUCCACGCUGCCGUCGAGCUGGGCACGACCAUCAACCUCAGACCACACCGCCGCCACCAUGGAUGCACCAUAUCAAGGUCUCCUCCCCCGUCCCCUAUGCUUCUUCUUCUUCUUUUCCUUCUCUCUCUAUCUCUCUCAAUCAUCCCUGAUGUGUUCAGAUUUGGUAGGCUUGGUUUCCUCCCUGAUCAUGAUGCGUGUAGACGCAUGCACAAGUUAGGUCUUGUGAUCUAUUUCAGGAAUAGCUGCUGCUGCUAGCCUUGUAGUUAGUUAUAUGUUGUUCGUAUGUAGGAUGUGUACCAGGUUCUUCGUAGGUAGUGUGUGUAAUGAGCUUUUGUUGUCAUGUACCUUUGGUUGGACCAUUGCACUGGUUAUGUAGAUAUAUCCUUUUGAAGUUCUUAUAUCCUGGUGCACGAAAACCACACAAGCCUUUAGAAUAUGUACGUGAAUUGUUUGACUAUGGUCACCUGACCACUACUCCGUGGAUGGUUGGUCCUUCUGCCAUUAGGUAGGAUAUCUUUUGUUUUCCUCUACGAACUACAGGUGCUUGAAAUAAGUCAGCUGGUAGCCAGUUCUUCAAUAAGAACAACUGAGACAGAUUUGAAACAUGAUUUAGAUGUUUCAGAGGUGGUAUAUAGCAGUUCAUUGUCCGUGUAUAUUUUACUGAGACUACAAAUAAAUUUUAAAGCUACUGAUUUAGGCUGAGUAAGCAAAACAUAUAAACAGGAAUAAAGUAAAUUAUUCUUUUAGCAAAUCAGAGUGAGCUUUAUUGAUCCAAGGAUUGUCUAUAGGAAUUGCAAGAAAAUCAUGAGGAAUUUCUUUCAGGUCGCAAUGGCUGACAAAGAGCUUCAGGUUCAUGGUUCACCAGGUUCUGCUGGCUCCACUAACAGUUGCCUGCAAGCACUUGCACAGGUCAGCUGAGAUACGUCUUGCAGACCUACGAGUUGAUUCUUCUAGGAUCUAAUUUUCUAAACGAACUUUCAGUUGCAAUGCACAAAUAUGUUGCUAGAUGAGGUUUAGAACUUAGUUGGCAGAAGCUAUUUUAAGAUUAGUAUAUUGUAGUAUUUCUCUAAGGGAAUUCUGUGAAUAUUUGGUCAUUGCCAACAAAUCUAAAAUAGAAUGGAAGUGAUUGUUUGGAAUGGAUAUUACUCUGCUGCUCAUGUUUGUUACUUUUAUUGCAUACAAUAUUUUGCUUACAUGUUUGCUAAUAAACUUCUGUGAGGACCCCUGCUGGAGACAUAUGGAGUUGAGGAAGAAUGCAAGUGAAUGGAGCUUGUUGAGUUGUUGUUCGCCUGAUCAUAUGUGAUAUGUCGAGUGUGAACUACCCAUUCUCCGCCUCUCCUACAGUCUGUAACAUAAGCGUUAGGCCUGAGCGUGUGAGUCUGUGAGAGUAGAUGGUAGGUCAUUGGAUAUAAAAGGGGCCUUUAGUAGUCCAUUUAUCUUUCCAGAAUGAAGUUGGAAGAGCACGAGCUCCUCUGCUCCACCCUUCGGAUCCCUUCCUCUGUAGUAUUUAGUUUCUUUGUUGUAUGUUGUAUUUAGUUAGUACUUUUCAGAUGGCUUAACUCCCUUUCUCUAUAGUACUUGGAGCCCAUAAGUGGAGGUGUUUGUUCCUCAUAUGCAACCUUAUUAUCUGAUAGAUAGAUUGUGAAACACAGCAGGAGUUUGAGUUUAUUUUCAUUCAGCAGAACACAACAAUAGUAGUAGACUCCCGUAAAAACCAGCAGUCGAACUGAACUAGAAUACUGUGUGUAUUUUAGCUUAAGUAAUCUAGGAUUCACUCCUGGAUGUUAGAGCAACAUAUUUCAAAAUGUAAUUAAUUAAUGUUGCUUCCCACGAAGUAUAUUUCUUUUGUUUCAAUAAGCAUUAUGCACAACUUGAUGCUUUGUGCGACGUCGAGUUCAUCUUAUUAUGUGAAUAUAGUGGUUGGCAUGCUCAAUUUGUCCUCAUUGGCAUCUGAACCUGAGGCUCCCGACUUACUCAAAUGUUCUCCAGUCAUUCCCACCUCUCCUACAAAUGUGAUCAAUUUGGCAUGGGUAUGCGUAUAGUUGGAAUGAGGCACCAUGGGAAGGAUUCAAAUCUCUGAGAAGUGUGCUAAAUCAAUAGUGCCAAGCCAAUCGGUUCAGUUUCAACUUCAAAAACAUUAGGUGAUUGAAAAUGGCAUGCAAUAUUUCUUCAACAAGGCUCCCUAAAUAUUCCCUAUGUUCUAAACUGGAUUCUGACAAGGGUAAAGAUAUCUGAGACAUCCCUCAUUUUAUUUUAAGACCAUUACUUUUUUGCCUACCUCUCCUCAUAUAAUCUCUAACAUGGCCGACUCUCUAUUCUCUGUGGUUUAAGGUGUACACCCUGCUAUUUGGUCAGAAGUUCGGGAGUUCAUAUUUGGUUGUUUGAUCUCGAGAACACCUUUGAUGACCACGAGCAAAUUGGGCGAACCAGAAGGUACUCGACUCAUUCUAUUCUUUUCUUGACUGCAAUUUCCAUCAAGUAAAUAUAUGAUGUAUUCACACUCCAUUAUAAUCAAUAAUUGCCUUACUGUAAAGGACUCAUUCAUUUUGCGUUCAUUAAUCUUGAACUAUAGAUUAAAUCUUUUUGCUGCAUGUUAAGUUAUGUGUGAAAGUAUGAUUAAUAUGAGGCACACAUUCUUUGUUUUAUGGAUAAUACAUUAACUGCUGCAUGUAUAUCAUCACAAGCAAAAAAUGUGUAUUUUUGAACUUUUUUCCUAAAAAAUAUAUUUUCUUAUGUUCUUGUGUAUUUACGUAUGAUGAGUGUGUGAGGGCUUAUGGCUUUUAUGGUGAUGAGUCAUGAUUGUCGCUCAUCUCCACUACCGGUAAUUUAUUUUACACGGUCACCAUCCCAUCUCUUGUUGUUAUGUAUGGUCGAAGUAAAAGAGGCUUUUCCUGCAUUGUUUAUUUGUAUUAGAUGACCAGUACAGGAAGUUGUAGUAGCUUCCCCGUCCUUUUUUUAAUGUAAAUGAUGGUAAGAACGAGUUAGAUUCUAUGUCGACCGGCUGUGCAUAUUAUCACAGGAUGUGCUAUGUUGGAUCGUAUCGAUUUUACUGAUGUAGUACAUGAUUUUAUAUUUUUUACUAGCACAUAUAUAUAUACAUUUAUUAUUCUUUAUACAAAAAUAAACAUAUGUUGAAAUCUACUGAUAAAUGGAAGUAUGCACCUCUUGCUUACUAAUAUAGGAUACUAUUUGCAUAUCUGACCAACUUCGAUUUAAUUUCUGCAUGUUCUUACCUUGGUGACCUUAGUGCACAACCUUAUACACUAAUGGGAAGGAAAUAUAAUACAUAAAAACCUGUGAAAGACCUGGUGGACAAUAAUUUAGCAUGCUUUGUUGUGACAUUUUAGUCGCCUUCUGCUUUAUUGUGACUCUUUCUAUUCAUCCAUUUAGGUACUUCUAGGACACGGACAAUUUCCCUCAAGGUCAAGACCUCACAUCAACGCUUCCAAGCCCCUGAUGAGCCUUUUCCUUUUUUUAAGUUUCUUAAUGUCACUUCUAUAGGUUUACUUGAGAUGUUAUGUUGCAUAUGUUGUGCUGAGGUUUUCCCACUUCCCUUUUAACUUCUCUGAAGUUGAUCAUCACAUGUUUAUGCAAUUGGACCAAAGCGACGACAUUACUUACAGCUAACCCGGUUAACAUAACAGUUAUGAACUAGGAUGAACUUAUACAUGUAGAGAGAGAGAGGUUGUUUAAAGAAUCCAGUACCUUUGUGUUUGCCUACAGAAUUCAAUAUUUGUUCAUGCGGUCAUCCUCGGCCUCUCUCUCUCUCUCUCUAUCUCUCUCUCUCUCUAUGUGUGUGUGUGUGUGUCCUGACUCUUUGUGCCUGUGUUGACCAUUUGUUUGUCCAUGCGAUUUUACUGUGGACUACUCUUUCUAAUUUGGCAUGUAGAUAGGGUCACUUUUAGAUAUUCUAUAGGGUGAUUACUGUUGUUGCAGCGCUGGAUGGCAUGUAGUAGUGCUGGAUCCGGUGGCUAGCCGUCGCCGUUGCCUGUCCUCUUUGAGGCGAGAUCCACGCUGCUCCACUCAGUCCAGGUUCACCCACCUCUCUCUCUCUCUCUCUCUCUCUCUGACGGCUGCUACAUCCAUCAUUUUGGCUUGCAGGUUGCCGGCAUCAUGAAGCUUGAUAAGGUUUCCGGCCGGUUUGCCACAUAACUUGCAGUCUAGGUCGUGGACAUAUUCGGGUUCUAGGUCACAGAAACAAAAUUUGGAGUUAUUUUAUCUGGCUCAAAAUGUUUGGCUCAACAAUUUGCUGCAUUAGAUAUCUUUUUGAGCUUAUUUUUUGUGAAUUCUACAACUUGUAGCAUUGAGCUAAACUGACAUUUGUUUUAGUUAACUUCCAUUCCUGGAUGUUUUUAAACUGAUAUUAUUUCCAUAAGUUCAGGUUUGUACUUGGCUUUAUCAGAAUUAGAAUAUGCAGAACAUGUGUUGGAGAAGUGCCCAUUUGGUUUUAUGAAAUAAUAUUCAUGUUGAUUGCAUUUUGUUAUAGGAAUGCUCAAAGAAUCUAAUGUUUGAUCAUGUUGUUGACAG